rnacentral:rRNA from 1 species
CCAGACUCCUACGGGAGGCAGCAGUGAGGAAUAUUGGUCAAUGGGCUUACGCCUGAACCAGCCAAGUCGCGUGAGGGAAGACGGCCCUACGGGUUGUAAACCUCUUUUGUCGGGGAGCAAAGCGAGUCACGUGUGACUCAUUGCGAGUACCCGAAGAAAAAGCAUCGGCUAACUCCGUGCCAGCAGCCGCGGUAAUACGGAAGGACCGGGCGUUAUCCGGAGUUAUUGGGUUUAAAGGGAGCGUAGGCCGGUCUUUAAGCGUGCCGUGAAAUUUUGUGGCUCAACCAUGAGAGUGCGGCGCGAACUGGAGACCUUGAGUGCGCGGAAGGCAGGCGGAAUUCGUGGUGGAGCGGUGAAAUGCUUAGAUAUAACGAAGAGCCCCGAUUGCGAAGGCAGCAUACCGGCGCUCAACUGACGCUCAUGCACGAAAGUGUGGGGAUCGAACAGGAUUAGAUACCCUUGUAGAC